CGUGAAGUGCAGGAUCGACAAGCAUUGGGGCGAACUAACUUUUCUGCAGGCCGACCUUCAUCAUGGACACCACGUGCAUCUUCUACUUCAACUGCACCAGCACCUCCAUCCGGUGCCACCUCCAACCGUGAUACAAGAAAACAGGCACAACCACCAUUAUCUGCCAAGAGCGCACCUGCGGGGCCUGCACAGCGUUCUUCUUCUUCCAUGGCAUCAACAGGGCACACAAGUGAUAUUAUUUGUCGUCGUUGUAAGGGAGGAGGUCAUUAUGCGAGAGAAUGCAAAUCUCCGCGUGUGAUGAUUGCUACCGCGGAUGGUGGAUAUGAGUCCGCUAGUGACUAUGAUGAGGAGACUUUG
rnacentral:rRNA from 1 species